rnacentral:rRNA from 1 species
AUUAGAGUUUGAUCAUGGCUCAGAUUGAACGCUGGCGGCAGGCCUAACACAUGCAAGUCGAGCGGUAGCACAGAGAGCUUGCUCUCGGGUGACGAGCGGCGGACGGGUGAGUAAUGUCUGGGAAACUGCCUGAUGGAGGGGGAUAACUACUGGAAACGGUAGCUAAUACCGCAUAACGUCGCAAGACCAAAGUGGGGGACCUUCGGGCCUCAUGCCAUCAGAUGUGCCCAGAUGGGAUUAGCUGGUAGGUGGGGUAACGGCUCACCUAGGCGACGAUCCCUAGCUGGUCUGAGAGGAUGACCAGCCACACUGGAACUGAGACACGGUCCAGACUCCUACGGGAGGCAACAGUGGGGAAUAUUGCACAAUGGGCGCAAGCCUGAUGCAGCCAUGCCGCGUGUGUGAAGAAGGCCUUCGGGUUGUAAAGCACUUUCAGCGGGGAGGAAGGCGGUGAGGUUAAUAACCUCACCGAUUGACGUUACCCGCAGAAGAAGCACCGGCUAACUCCGUGCCAGCAGCCGCGGUAAUACGGAGGGUGCAAGCGUUAAUCGGAAUUACUGGGCGUAAAGCGCACGCAGGCGGUCUGUCAAGUCGGAUGUGAAAUCCCCGGGCUCAACCUGGGAACUGCAUUCGAAACUGGCAGGCUAGAGUCUUGUAGAGGGGGGUAGAAUUCCAGGUGUAGCGGUGAAAUGCGUAGAGAUCUGGAGGAAUACCGGUGGCGAAGGCGGCCCCCUGGACAAAGACUGACGCUCAGGUGCGAAAGCGUGGGGAGCAAACAGGAUUAGAUACCCUGGUAGUCCACGCUGUAAACGAUGUCGAUUUGGAGGUUGUGCCCUUGAGGCGUGGCUUCCGGAGCUAACGCGUUAAAUCGACCGCCUGGGGAGUACGGCCGCAAGGUUAAAACUCAAAUGAAUUGACGGGGGCCCGCACAAGCGGUGGAGCAUGUGGUUUAAUUCGAUGCAACGCGAAGAACCUUACCUGGUCUUGACAUCCACAGAACUUUCCAGAGAUGGAUUGGUGCCUUCGGGAACUGUGAGACAGGUGCUGCAUGGCUGUCGUCAGCUCGUGUUGUGAAAUGUUGGGUUAAGUCCCGCAACGAGCGCAACCCUUAUCCUUUGUUGCCAGCGGUUAGGCCGGGAACUCAAAGGAGACUGCCAGUGAUAAACUGGAGGAAGGUGGGGAUGACGUCAAGUCAUCAUGGCCCUUACGACCAGGGCUACACACGUGCUACAAUGGCAUAUACAAAGAGAAGCGACCUCGCGAGAGCAAGCGGACCUCAUAAAGUAUGUCGUAGUCCGGAUUGGAGUCUGCAACUCGACUCCAUGAAGUCGGAAUCGCUAGUAAUCGUAGAUCAGAAUGCUACGGUGAAUACGUUCCCGGGCCUUGUACACACCGCCCGUCACACCAUGGGAGUGGGUUGCAAAAGAAGUAGGUAGCUUAACCUUCGGGAGGGCGCUUACCACUUUGUGAUUCAUGACUGGGGUGAAGUCGUAACAAGGUAACCGUAAU